CGUCAAACGAGUUCUUCAGAUUUUGCAACAACAAUCGCUGUUUCCUCCUCAAGUACUCCACUUUCUGCUUGAACUGCUCAUUCGACAGGUGGUGCACCUGCCCGUAGUCCGGCACUCGAGGACGCUCAUAUGAAGGAGUUGGUUGUCGGCUACAAGGAUCUACUGGUACUUUGACGCAGGAAUGAAAAAAGGACGUGCCUCUGUGUUCCGUCAUGUCUCAUCUAUUAACAGAUAAUUUUUUUUUAAUUUUCAUUCAUCGUUAUUUUCUAGCUAAUAUUUCGAAUUAACUACUAGCAAAGUACCUAAAAAGAUAUUGUAGAUAAAGUAUAAUAAAACUAAGCUAAUAUAUUAUAACUAAGCUACUAUAUCAGAUGCAGUAUAAUUGGGUCAUACAACAGAGUCAUACUGCCUAUAUGAUAGUACAGUGAUCAGCCAAGUACGACUCCAACUCGACCCUGAAGCAGAGCUUUUACGGCCAGGUCGAGGUUUCCAGAUAACGGCAUACUGGUUGCUUUGGGCAGCCGUACUAGCUGCCGACCUACCCGGGAGAAUCAAUGCAACCUGGCUCUGUG